AACCUAGCACACCUGCGGUGUGUACCUGCGGAGGGAUCAUUAAUGAAUAAACUUGGUCGAGCUGUUGCUGAUCCCUCGGGAUAUGUGCACGCUUGCCACCAAUUUUAACCACCUGUGCACUUUCUGUAGACUGGAAAACGAUGCUCGAGGCAACUCGGAUUGGGAACUGCUGCGCGAAAGCCGGCUGCUCCUGUGUUUUCUCAGUCUAUGUUUUUAUAUACUCCGAAUGUAUGUAUAAGA
rnacentral:misc_RNA from 1 species